UCUGGCGUGACGCACCUGCUGUCUCAGAAGUUGCUUCCCACAAAACUCGCCCUCACAGAGACAGGAGGAAAAGUCCAUUCUCAGCACUACCAGUCUUGUCUGAAGCUGAAUCGCUACUGCUAGUGAGAGUGUGUCUCCUAUAUCUUCCCAAGGAGAGGGGCCUUUGCAGUUGGAGUGGUUCUGGUGGAUGGUUCUUCAUGGUUUGAGAUUCCUGGGGUUUGAUGUCAUGACUGUUGUGUCUUCAAAUGCGCAAUGCCAUGUGGUAUGUCUGCUCUCAGAGUCAUAUCCUGCCGACAACAUCAAUUGUUUUUCAACCAUCCAAAGACAGUCUACACAGCAUUAUUCAGCAAGAAGUGGCAGAUGUACUUUCCAUUUCAGUGUGCUACAGAGUCUGUGGGACCUGGUCUGGCUCAGAGCUCACUGGAAUCGUGACCUGGGAUGACCUUCCCAACUUGGGGGCCAGAGCUUCCCACUUCAGCUUCUGUCUGCGUCGGUCCCUGAGAAGAAGCCAUCCUGCCAGGUUCAGGAGCCCACAUCCCCCCAGGAGGUCUUCCCCCAAGCCCUCAGACUGGAGCACAGACCCAGCUAUUCCACACUGUGCUGGGUGGGCUCCUGGUGCAGGGAGAGGUGACCUCCCUGGACACUCUGGGGAGCCUGAGAUCCUCCUGGGAGAGGACACCCCCUUUCCUUCUGCUCAGUGAGGGGGUGGGUGUGGAUAAGCAGGGCCCAGAGCCAGGAUUAGUGCCUCCUUGGGCCGGGUGUCCUUUUAGAGUUCCACACAGGGAAAAGGUUAUGGGGGUUCUGGGGAAUGACUGGGGCUGCUGCUCACUGGGGUCUUGGUGGAACCUGUGUCAUCACUGAAAAUAUCAUGGUCAUACAUUAGUAAAAAGUAUAAUUACUCAUUUCUGUUCAACUUGGAUGAGAAAGAGGGUUUUUUUAAUAUUUAGGAACACAUUUCCCAUAUUUAAGUCUUCUUAGACAACAAACUCGAGAAUGUGGACUCCAGUGUACAUGUACAAUCUGUGAAGAUAAAAAGAAAAUAUUGUAAAAGUAUGUAUUAAAUAUGAAGAAUUAAAACAUCAUAAUUUGCAGCACUCAAAAAUCACAAGGAAACAGUGUGACAGAACUAAUCCAUCAUUAUUAGUUUAUAUUAAAUAAUUAUAAAAUUAUGAACUAGACGACAGCUAUUCCAUGUAGGAGGUGUUAAUCUCUGGGGAUUUAACAAAACACAUUCGAGGUCAGCCAGUGUCAGGACAUGCAGGCAAAGUUCAGGAGCAGGCAUGGUUUAGAACCCCAAUAACAUCUGCCGACGACCUGCAGGGCAACUGGGUGUCCUCCUUGGAAAUGUUUGUGUUGGUUUCUUGCCCAUUUCUUGAUUGGGGUGUCUGCUUUCUG